GCUCCCAUGGCGUAGUGGUCACUGCACUUGCCUUGCACGCGGGAGACCCGGGUUCGAUUCCCGGCGGGGGCA
rnacentral:tRNA from 1 species